CGGACCAAUGAUGACGACUGGUGGCGUAUGAGUCAUGGAUGAUGAAUAAUACGUGUCUGGAAGUCUGAGGUCUGG
rnacentral:snoRNA from 1 species